rnacentral:lncRNA from 1 species
AAAAAUGACACGAGGGGGACCUAAUAUUAUCUACACGUUUAUGAAUACAUUGUGACAAUUCCUUCCUAACUUGCCCGUCCACGUCUUGAUUGAAUGGAUCAUGGAUUAUAUACGUUUUGAUUGGAUACUUCCAUCUGUUUCGUCUUCAUUUUAACAUUUCUACAAAACCCUGCAUUAUUUAUUUUUCGAUGUAUAUUUUCCUAUAUUCGUUAUCUUUGAGCUUUUAUUUAUUUUUUUUAUUUUUUUUUCAAAUACUAUAUUUUUGUAUACUUAUGAGUUAUGACUCAUCCAUCCAACUUUUGUCCCAUAGUUAUAGUUAUU